AUUGAACGCUGGCGGCAGGCCUAACACAUGCAAGUCGAGCGGAGCGGCGGACGGGGGAGUAAUGCCUAGGAAUCUGCAUGGUAGUGGGGGAUAACGUCCGGACACGGGCGCUAAUACCGCAUACUAUCAGAUGAGCCUAGGUCGGAUUAGCUAGUUGGUGGGGUAAAGGCCUACCACGGCGACGAUCCGUAACUGGUCUGAGAGGAUGAUCAGUCACACUGGAAGUUAGACACAGUCCAGGCUCCUACGGGAGGCAGCCGAGGGGUAUGUUGGACAAUUGGGUAAAUCCUGAACCAGCCAUGCCGCGUGUGUGAAGAAGGUCGUCGGAGUGUAAAGCACUAUAAGUUGGGAGGCGUUACCAACAGAAUAAGCACCGGCUAACUGCGUGCCAGCAGCCGCGGUAAUAG
rnacentral:rRNA from 1 species